CCCUCAUAUCAAUGGUCUAAGCCGUACCAAAUAAGUCAUGUUCAAGGGCUUUCCAGUCCAUAAUUUGUCCAUUACCUUCAGCCAAACCAGACUGGAAGCCAUUUCAACCAGACCACUAAGAAACUUCUAAAGGUCAGAGAAGACCAUUCCGAAGAAAAUACUCCCAUCCCAGUGAUGAACGACCCAGGGCUGGGUAAUUGAACAAGUCGAUCCAACAAAUACAGACCACAGAACAGGACCACAAUUGCCAGAGCUGGAGACUAUUUCUUGCAUAGGACAAGCCUCCAUGUACUCACAUAAAACUCACUGAAAUGGCAAUACAGCCAGGACCAGCGCAAAUUUGAGAGCGAAGAGUUAAAGGAAACAAAUUUACUCAUCACAGGGAAUCAUCCAGAGAUAUUUUACCACUCUCUAAAGUGAUCAAUGGAGUCUGACUUUAAGGUAGAAAACAUGAGGAUGGCCAUCAAUACCAUAGUUCCAUGUAUGUGGUAUGAAGCUGGAUUGGCACAAGAGUGGACAGUCUUGUACCUGUCUCUUAGGGUCAUGCUAACAGGUUAACACAUGUAGACAACUAAUUUUCUUAUUUGAAUAGCUACAGCAGUACAUGCACAAACCAAGGAAAAAAUGGAAAAGGAAAUAACACAAACAGGUUUAUCUGAUUCCAGAUGGCAGUCCUG
rnacentral:lncRNA from 1 species